rnacentral:rRNA from 1 species
GAAAGCAUCUAAGCAUCGAAGCCCCCCUCAAGAUGAGAUUUCCCAACUUCGGUUAUAAGAUCCCUCGAAGAUGACGAGGUUAAUAGGUUCGAGGUGGAAGCGUGGUGACACGUGGAGCUGACGAAUACUAAUCGAUCGAAGACUUAAUCAA